CCUACGGGAGGCUGCAGUGGGGAAUAUUGGACAAUGGGCGAAAGCCUGAUCCAGCCAUGCCGCGUGUGUGAAGAAGGCCUUCGGGUUGUAAAGCACUUUCAGUGGGGAAGAAAGCCUUGGGGCUAAUACCCUCGAGGAAGGACAUCACCCACAGAAGAAGCACCGGCUAACUCCGUGCCAGCAGCCGCGGUAAUACGGAGGGUGCGAGCGUUAAUCGGAAUUACUGGGCGUAAAGCGCGCGUAGGCGGUCUGAUAAGCCGGUUGUGAAAGCCCCGGGCUCAACCUGGGAACGGCAUCGGGAACUGUCAGGCUAGAGUGCAGGAGAGGAAGGUAGAAUUCCCGGUGUAGCGGUGAAAUGCGUAGAGAUCGGGAGGAAUACCAGUGGCGAAGGCGGCCUUCUGGACUGACACUGACGCUGAGGUGCGAAAGCGUGGGUAGCAAACAGGAUUAGAUACCCUGGUAGUC
rnacentral:rRNA from 1 species